AUGGCUCCACGACUAAGUCCUUGCACGAGGACAUCUGCCGUGAUAAUUCCACGACAGUUGGCGCCCACCGUGGGGCUGGCGCACGGUGGAUUUGAGUUCUUGAAGGGCAGCUUCGAAGGGCUCAAGGGAUACGCUGUGGGCCGGAUGACCAAGAGUCGUCGCGGCAAGCUCUACAUCGACGAUGCAAACUGGUGCCCCGACGCUGGCUCAAUCGAGUACGGGUACCGGGUCCCCUUCGGCGGAAUCCAUGUCUUUAUUGGCAAGAUUGGUGAGCCGGGCCUUGAGCCGGACCUCUGCGCCGAUCUCAUCGAGACGGCUCAGCGUGCACGACCCGCCCGAACCCUGCCUGCCUUGAAGCAUUCUUUCGUGGGAUGCGUCCAUGGAGGACUCUCUGAAAGAUCUGGAUCUGGCGAGGAGACGGCCGCUCGCUCUGAUGGCGAGUCAUCCACAGAGGAGACCGACUCGUUAUACCAACUUCAAGAUGGCAGGCUCAGGGGUUGUUCCGAUGGCGACAGUAUUCCGGACCCCUUCGAGCCGCCGAGCCGGGUUGGAAUCUUCAUGGCUGGCGCACAACCUGUUCAAAACCCCGCCGCCAGGGCAGGAAGCCCUGUGCCCUCGCCGGCUCAGGUGCUGGUGGAUCUCACAGACAAGAUGACGGCCCUGUUAACCGCUACGGUCGCCCCAGCGGAUCAAGCUCGGCAUGACGCGGAGGUGGCACAGUUAAAGUUGGAU
rnacentral:rRNA from 1 species